ensembl:snRNA
GAGGCUUUUGUCAUGAGUGGCACACGUAGGGCAACUUGUUUGCUCUGUGUGCAGAAUCAAUAUCAAGAGAUUUCAAAAGCAUAAUUUUUUGGUGCUUGGGCAGCUGGUGAUCAUUGCUCUUGGCACCCUU